UUGGGGGCAAGUCUGGUGCCAGCAGCCGCGGUAAUUCCAGCUCCAAUAGCGUAUAUUAAAGUUGUUGCAGUUAAAAAGCUCGUAGUUGAAUUUCGGGGUCAGUAGGUUGGUCAUGCCACAGGUAUGUACUGGUCUCACUGAUUCCUCCUUCCUGAUGAACUGUAAUGCCAUUAAUUUGGUGUUGCAGGGAAUCAGGACUGUUACUUUGAAAAAAUUAGAGUGCUUAAAGCAGGCUCACGCUUGAAUACAUUAGCAUGGAAUAAUGAAAUAGGACGUUUGAUUCUAUUUUGUUGGUUUCUAGGAUCGACGUAAUGAUUAAUAGGGAUAGUUGGGGGCAUUAGUAUUCAAUUGUCAGAGGUGAAAUUCUUGGAUUUAUUGAAGACUAACUACUGCGAAAGCAUUUGCCAAGGAUGUUUUCAUUAAUCAAGAACGAAAGUUAGGGGAUCGAAGACGAUCAGAUACCGUCGUAGUCUUAACCAUAAACUAUGCCGACUAGGAAUCAGACGAUGUUAAUUUUUUAAUGACUCAUUCGGCGCCUUACGGGAAAC
rnacentral:rRNA from 1 species